CAAUUUGGAGUGGUCUGCCUCCGUCUUCAGUCUCUCCUUGCUCUCCAUGGACACAGGCCAGUUUUGAAUUUCACCUGGGAAAUCCCAGGACCGUGAACCAACAGACACCCUACCCUGACACCGUCCAAGCUGUACAUGACUCCCUUUACUUCUUCACCCUGAAGAUGUUGCAAACAGUAUGGAAAGAAGCACCUCGGAGAGAGGAUUGUAGACGGCAUCACAGCAACAGCCCCCUUAGUCACGCCUUAAUACUGGAAUGCGUAUACAUCUUUAGUCUUGCUUCAAUAACGCUUGUCAGCCUCAGGCUCCAUGAAAACCGCCGCAUCCAAUGUUUGUUUUGUCUGUUAAUUUAUAACAUUUGGGGCCAGAUGUGAAUUGAAAAUCCUUCACCAAACUGUCAAAAGCAACAAUUAAAAAAUCUUCUCCAGGAAUUGCCACAGCAGUCACUCCAUUCCAGAUGUAGGACGGAAAGCGCACGAAAACGACAGGGCUGUGAGUUCCCGCGGCCAGGUUUCCAGCAGGACGAGCGCAGAGCGGCGGCCGACGACAUCUCGCGGCAGGCCUUGCUGUCCCGCGAGAGGUUUCCCGAUGGGUAGUUAUCUGACUUCCGGCUUCUCGCGGAUCAUAACCUUUCCUAGAGAGUCUGAGUUGCCUCGGAUAAUGAAGUUUCCAAAAUUUCCGUUUGGUGUUCCCCGAUGAAAAUGCUUGUUCACCAAGAGUCAGAGAUAAUAAAAUAUUUCAGCAAGUCUGUAAGAAGUGGGACACUAUUUCCACGUUCCAGGAAUCCUUUUAUUUUUUGCUAUUGUGUGAUUUUAAGGCUAUAAAUUAUCCUUGUCGUGGCUUUGCUAGAAUCACAUCCGUCUACUGUAAUAUCAACAUGAAUCAACUUUCUAAGAAUUGUCAAAUCUGGACCUUGACAACAUUAAGUCUGUGGACCAAUGGAAAAUAUUAACAAUUCACACAAAAAAUAUGUGUUGGUCGCCUAAUGUCUAUGAAGUACUGGGGACAAAAGAUGAUGAGAGAAAAUAUUCAAGGGAAGUUGAUAAUUUGCAUCCUUAUAUUACUGCCUCAUGUUUAGAUUCCUUCCAAAAAUUAGAAUCUGUUCAACAGUUAAAACUAUGCUGAUCUUAUCAUCAUGAACUCAUACCUUUAUUUGUAUUGUGGAUUGUUGUCAGGGAAUACCCCUAUACUCAGCAAGAAGUUCUGCAAGGAAGGGUCGUAAGACAUGCCACAGUGAGUGGAGAUAAGAGUAACAUUAUGUUCCAAGUCGUCAAGCCUUUUAAUUCUCUAGGACAGUUUUACAGUUCACAAGUCUAGUGAAUCCUUAGACUGUCAAUAAAGAUUUAUAGAAAAUCACUACCUAAGCACAGGUACUCCAGUGUAAAAAAUGUCAUUCUAUUUUACCGCAAAUCAUACCUACUGGGAUUCUGCCUCCUUGUUAUUUUGCUUGUUUUUGAGGCCUACACUGACUUAAUCCUGUUGAGAAAGGAAAUCUAAAUACUUUCACAACAAAGAAGAGGCUCUAGAAGCUCUCCAGAGGCCUUGACAAAUGAAUAUCAAUAGAUUUCCUCUAAAAGAAAAUAUUCUGUAUGUGAGAACUUUACUGAAAUAUAACCAAUUUAUCAUGGUUCCCCCCUUUUAUAUUAGCUUAUUUAUAAUAUCAUUUCACAGACAUGGUUCUGGCCUUGAAAAAUAUACGUCCUCACUUUAUAAUAUGUUGUCAAAGGUUAAAAAUUUUAAUUUGAAAAUAAAAAAGGAAUAUGGACAAUAUAUCACUAUUCAAAUUAUUUUCAAAUCCUUUGGUUUUGUUUGUUGGCAUUAGAAAUAUUAAAUUCUGUAAAAAAAGGCCGCCUCAGGAUUAUCUUCAUAUAAGGUUUGUAGCACAGAGAGUAACUGACAAGGCGUAUACAGAGACACACAGUCAACCACAUUAUGAUUGAUUUUGUUUUUAGUGAAAAUGGCAGUUGGUUAUGCCUUAAAGCUGGAAGCAUUGGCAGAAGAUAUGCUGAUACUUUGACAGUACAGGGAAGUGACACGAUAGAUAGGACUAGGCCAAAACCCACUCAAUAAAUACAUGACUAGUUUGGGACUGUUAGUCCCACAACAGACGCUGAUUAUGGGCAAUCAGUAGUUCCAAGGUACAAAUACUAAGAGAUAUAGUGGUCUCCACUGUAAUUCAAGUGGUUAUAAACAAACACCUUUAAGAUUUAUCCAGGGUGUGAGGUAGAGCAGAGGCAAAUCCAUUGUUCUGUCAAAUAUUGAACAAUAGGUGGGCAGCAAUCAGGAUUCUGAGAGAGAUUUACAUAAGAAGAAGUGGGAGCAGAUGCAGCUGUGGGGGAUGCUGGAGUCACCAAAGGCAAGGAACCUGGUAAGAACUAGCUAGUUUGCUAGAGUGCGACCAAGGGUGCAGUGCUGAGGGAUUGAAUGCUAGUCAUAGUGGUGAAUCACGGUAUUAGCCCAGGAAAUUAGGACAAUUGGAGUCAGAGUAGCCACUGAGGAAAAAGGUGAAAGCAAUAGGAAAAAUGGAAAAUGUUUUGCCUCAAUCUGUUUAUGAGCCUGAGGCUAGCACCUGGGUAGUGGAUCAUCAAUCAUCUUUCAACUAAAAAUGAUUUGGCUAAGGAAAAGUUAAAGGUCAUUUUAGGUUAUUGAUAAGCUAUGUAAAACUGGAGGCCGUCAAUUUACGGAGGCACUGUACUUUGGUUUCUUAUGAUUUUCUAAAGCAUAUGCCAAAAAAUGGUUAAUGGUAAGACUGACUGAGCAUGUUGUAUGCUUGGGCCAGUAAGUAUAACAGGUGAAAUAAUUGAUAAUAUAAUUAUUAAUGGAAUGUCUCACUUCCCAUCCACCAUGACACUGAGGUCCCUGGUGACCUAGUGAUUGUUAAUAGACUUCUACCAUAGGACAUUUAACUAAAUUGUUAAAAUGAAUUAAAAUCGCUUGGUGACUGACUGCAGUGUGGUCAGUCUAAUUAACAAUCUAGUUUGUGCAGGAAGAUACCCUCACCCUUUAUUGAACUUCUAAAUUUGCAUUAUAUAGUCACUGCUGUACGGCUCCAUGUUGGUUAAAAAAAUAAAAAAUAGCAUGGGAGAGAAAAAAUACAGUGAAAAGGUCUAGCUAUAAUUAUUUUCUCUGUUUUGCUUUGCAGACCAUUAAUACCACAGAGUUUGAAAUCUAUUCUUGAAAAGGUUUAACUGAACUUUUAGCAAUGUAUUUUGAACAGUAUUUUUGAGGGGCAGUUCAAAAUGAUGGAUAGCUUUUGCAAAGAUUAAAAAUUAAAAUUAUUAAGUGUGUCCUUGGGAAGAAUCGUUCAGAGAGGAUGCUACCAUUCAGUCUAGUUUCCAAACUCAAUAGUUUAUGAAUACAAAUAUUUUUAUGAAUCACUGGAGGAAAAUAAAGCUUUCCAAAACUAAGACAUGAUAAAAAUUAAUUGUAUUUUUAAAUGUUUCUAAUG
rnacentral:lncRNA from 1 species